UGGGGAAUAUUGCACAAUGGGCGCAAGCCUGAUGCAGCAACGCCGCGUGAACGAUGAAGGUCCUCGGAUCGUAAAGUUCUGCUGCAGGGGAAGAUAAUGACGGUACCCUGUGAGGAAGCCCCGGCUAACUACGUGCCAGCAGCCGCGGUAAUACGUAGGGGGCUAGCGUUAUCCGGAUUUACUGGGCGUAAAGGGUGCGUAGGUGGUCUUUCAAGUCGGUGGUUAAAGGCUACGGCUCAACCGUAGUUAGCCUCCGAAACUGGAAGACUUGAGUGCAGGAGAGGAAAGUGGAAUUCCCAGUGUAGCGGUGAAAUGCGUAGAUAUUGGGAGGAACACCAGUAGCGAAGGCGGCUUUCUGGACUGCAACUGACACUGAGGCACGAAAGCGUGGGUAGCAAACAGG
rnacentral:rRNA from 1 species